rfam:Clostridium amylolyticum strain DSM 21864 genome assembly, contig: Ga0131114_102
AAGGUGUGCUAGGGGUGCCUGUGGCUGAGAAAUGAGCAAUCAUUAACCCUUUUACCUGAUCUGGAUAGUACCAGCGUAGGGAAGCGUUAUUUACGUUAA